rnacentral:rRNA from 1 species
UCGGUGCGAGAUGGGCCCGCGGCCUAUCAGCUUGUUGGUGAGGUAACGGCUCACCAAGGCGACGACGGGUAGCCGACCUGAGAGGGUGACCGGCCACACUGGGACUGAGACACGGCCCAGACUCCUACGGGAGGCAGCAGUGGGGAAUAUUGCACAAUGGGCGAAAGCCUGAUGCAGCGACGCCGCGUGCGGGAUGACGGCCUUCGGGUUGUAAACCGCUUUUGACAGGGACGAAGCGYAAGUGACUGUACCUGUAGAAUAAGGACCGGCCAACUACGUGCCAGCAGCCGCGGUAAUACGUAGGGUCCGAGCGUUGUCCGGAAUUACUGGGCGUAAAGAGCUUGUAGGCGGUUCGUCGCGUCGUUUGUGAAAACUUGGGGCUCAACCUUAAGCUUGCAGGCGAUACGGGCGGACUAGAGUACUUCAGGGGAGACUGGAAUUCCUGGUGUAGCGGUGAAAUGCGCAGAUAUCAGGAGGAACACCGGUGGCGAAGGCGGGUCUCUGGGAAGUAACUGACGCUGAGAAGCGAAAGCAUGGGUAGCAAACAGGAUUAGAUACCCUGGUAGUCCAUGCCGUAAACGGUGGGUACUAGGUGUGGGGCUCCUUCCACGGACUCCGUGCCGUAGCUAACGCAUUAAGUACCCCGCCUGGGGAGUACGGCCGCAAGGCUAAAACUCAAAGAAAUUGACGGGGGCCCGCACAAGCGGCGGAGCAUGUGGAUUAAUUCGAUGCAACGCGAAGAACCUUACCUGGGUUUGACAUACACCAGAAACACGUAGAGAUACGUGCCCCCUUGUGGUUGGUGUACAGGUGGUGCAUGGCUGUCGUCAGCUCGUGUCGUGAGAUGUUGGGUUAAGUCCCGCAACGAGCGCAACCCUUAUCUUAUGUUGCCAGCGCGUAAUGGCGGGGACUCGUGAGACUGCCGGGGUCAACUCGGAGGAAGGUGGGGACGACGUCAAGUCAUCAUGCCCCUUAUGUCCACACAUGCUACAAUGGCCGGUACAGAGGGCUGCGAUACCGUGAGGUGGAGCGAAUCCCUUAAAGCCGGUCUCAGUUC